rnacentral:misc_RNA from 1 species
AACUUUCGACAACGGAUCUCUUGGUUCUGGCAUCGAUGAAGAACGCAGCAAAAUGCGAUAAGUAAUGUGAAUUGCAGAAUUCCGUGAAUCAUCGAAUCUUUGAACGCACAUUGCGCCUUCUGGUAAUCCGGAAGGCAUGCCUGUCUGAGCGUCAUUUCACCAUUCAAAUUUAUACUUUUUUGUGUAAGACUUGGUUUUGGAUGUUUGACUAUGUUAAGUAGUCUCGUCUGUAAUGAAUUGACUGUGCUUUUGCAGCCUUAGUUGUAGCAAUAAAAGUGACCAACUUUAAGGCUUGUUUCUGCGUGUCUUGUUAACUUGUGCUAAUUUAGCCAUUUAAGUUUGACCUCAGAUCAGGUAGGAAUACCCGCUGAACUUAAGCAUAUCAAUAAGCGGAGGCU